AACGCGAAGAACCUUACCAGGGUUUGACAUCCUGUGCUCACCGGAGAGAUCCGGUUUCCCCGCAAGGGGCGCAGAGACAGGUGCUGCAUGGCUGUCGUCAGCUCGUGUCGUGAGAUGUUGGGUUAAGUCCCGCAACGAGCGCAACCCUCGCCUUUAGUUGCCAUCAUUAAGUUGGGCACUCUAGAGGGACCGCCGGCGACAAGCCGGAGGAAGGUGGGGAUGACGUCAAGUCCUCAUGGCCCUUACACCCUGGGCUACACACGUGCUACAAUGGCGGUGACAGUGGGCAGCCAACUCGCGAGAGUGAGCUAAUCCCAAAAAACCGUCCCAGUUCAGAUUGCACUCUGCAACUCGGGUGCAUGAAGGUGGAAUCGCUAGUAAUCGCAGAACAGCAGGCUGCGGUGAAUACGUUCCCGGGCCUUGUA
rnacentral:rRNA from 1 species